rnacentral:rRNA from 1 species
CCUACGGGGGGCAGCAGUAGGGAAUCUUCCGCAAUGGACGAAAGUCUGACGGAGCAACGCCGCGUGAGUGAAGAAGGAUUUCGGUUCGUAAAACUCUGUUGUUAGGGAAGAAAAAAUGUAUAGUAACUAUAUACAAAAGAGACGGUACCUAACCAGAAAGUCACGGCUAACUACGUGCCAGCAGCCGCGGUAAUACGUAGGUGGCAAGCGUUGUCCGGAAUUAUUGGGCGUAAAGCGCGCGCAGGUGGUUUAGAAAGUCUGAUGUGAAAGCCCACGGCUCAACCGUGGAGGGUCAUUGGAAACUAAUAAACUUGAGUGCAGGAGAGAAAAGUGGAAUUCCUAGUGUAGCGGUGAAAUGCGUAGAGAUUAGGAGGAACACCGGUGGCGAAAGCGGCUUUUUGG